AUUGAACGCUGGCGGCAGGCCUAACACAUGCAAGUCGAGCGAGCGGCGGACGGGUGAGUAAUGUAUGGGGACUGCCCGAUAGAGGGGGAUAACUACUGGAAACGGUAGCUAAUACCGCAUACUAUCGGAUAACCCAUAUGGGAUUAGCUAGUAGGUGAGGUAAUGGCUCACCUAGGCGACGAUCCCUAGCGGGUCUGAGAGGAUGAUCAGCCAAACGGGGACUGGGACACGGCACAGACUCCGACGGAGGCAGCAGGUGGGAAGAUUGCAAAAUGGGCCCAAGCCCGAUGCAGCCAUGCCGGGGGUAAGAAGAAGGCCCUAGGUUUGUAAAGUACUUUCAGUCGGGAGGCGUUACCGACAGAAGAAGCACCGGCUAACUCCGUGCCAGCAGCCGCGGGAUUC
rnacentral:rRNA from 1 species